ACUGAUUUCAUCUAACGGUAAGAUGACGGCUUCCAACCCCGUUCAUUAAGGUUCGAAUCCUUAGAUCAGUG
rfam:Chitinophaga pinensis DSM 2588, complete genome.